UGAGCAGACUGUGCGGCCGCGGCAGCGCUUCAGCUGACGAGGAAAGUCCGGGCAUCACAGAGCAGGAUAGCUGCUAACAGCAGCCGGAGGCGACUCCAGGGCAAGUGCAACAGAAAUGAGACUGCCCCGCGGGCGAAAGCCGGCGGAGCGAUGGUGGAAAGGCGGGGUAAGAGCCCACCGGAGCGCAUGAGAAUGCGCUGCCGUGUAAACCCUAUCCGAUGCAACGCCGAUUGGUGUGUAUGACCGCAAACGCCUGCUCGGCGGGUCAUGCGCAAAGGCGGCUUGAGCGAUGCGGCGACGCACCGCCUAGAUAAAUGGCUGCACAAGUGCAUUUCGCACAGGACAAAACCCGGCUUACAGGUCUGGUCACGCG
rnacentral:RNase_P_RNA from 1 species